CCCCAAAUCUUCAUCCAUCCGCUGCCACCCUUAGCCUGCACCUCCCUUCUUCCUUUCAAGCAAAGUCAAGCUCAUAGUACACUAGCUUGUCAACUCAGCCACCCUACACUCCACCUGCAGCCCCUCUUUCUUUCUUGUCAUAGGAGAGGUAGCUGCCAAUAUCCCCCUUUAAACCAAAUAAGCUAGCAACUCCCUUCACCAUUCUACACUAACUCCACGAGAAGAGCAAGUAGGAGAACUCCAUGCAUUUUCUGCCAUUAUUCAAGGUAAAUCUUAGCUUCAAUCUCCCCCAUUCUCUUCAUAUUUCAACCUGCAUUUGUUGAAGAAUACAAAUGUAUUUCAGAAAAAUCCUCAUCAGCCAUCGUUCCCAUCAAAAACAAGGAAGCAAACAACUCAAGAGAAAAUCCAGCAAGUGUGAGUCCUUCUAAAGGCUUCAUCUUGAACACCUACAUCUAUUUCAUUCUGCAUAUGAUUUAAACACCUCUCAAAUCAUAUUUCAGUAAACCACACGAGUUUAUACACCU
rnacentral:lncRNA from 1 species